UUAUCAAGAAUGGGUGUUAUUUGGGUAUCUUGUUUGUCCAGAUGAGCAGCUUCGUGUUACUAGCAUCGAUAUUGCUAUGGUGGUACUGAAAGAAAAUCUAGUUCUAACAUUAUUUAGGGAUGAGUAUAUACUUCUGCAUGAGGAAUAUCAGCUCUAUGUUCUAC